ACAUAAAAUACUCAAUAUGUGAACCGAUGGCGCUCAUAUGUGUGGCCAGGUACGGGCAACAGCAGCGCUGAUGGUCACCGCCUCCUACACUCACCUGCCUGGAGCAAGUGAACGCAAGCAAAGAGCUCCUACCAGGCGCUGUCAACAAUGACAAAAACAACCCUUCAACUCUUUAGUUUUAUCUUGGCAGUAAAAAAUUUGCUAUGCGACAGUCGCUAAUAGACAAACAAACCGCCAAGUGCUGAAUGACAGCUCAAAGCACGGCUGACGUCCACGCGGCCACCCUCCCACACUCCUUCCGCCAUCAGCCGUCAACUCGUAUGCAGCUCGCUUCGGAAUUCAGUGACCCGUUCACCAAGCAAGUUGGCGCAGUCAUAAGUCAUUUCGGGGCCGAAAAUGGAGCGGAGAGAAGCGGCGUGCAAGUCACCAUAUUUUUCACGAAUUUGCAUAAAUACGAAAUUAAAAGCCGUCAAAAUACGAAAUUGCAAAUGCAGCCAACGGAAAAAAAUAAAUUCAAAAAACAAAAAUAAUAACAAAAUAAUAAAAAAAAGCUUAUAAAAAAACAAUUUAAAAAAAAUGCCAUACAAAGCCGAAUAAUACUGAAAACAGGUGAACACCUUGAAUAUGGCCAUACAACACGCCAAAAACAAAACAAAAACAAAACAAAAACAAAACAAAAAUAGAAACAAAAUCACUAAGAGCCGGCGCAUUGUUCCAUACGCUUACUGCGCAAACGAAGUUGGCUGGCAAAGAAGAAAAAAUCAAAGGAAAAGAGAGAAAAAUUUGGACACCUCUUAGAGGCGCUCAUGCAGACAAUCUCGUAAAAGCGCGUAAAAAAUCGCAAAACUACCUUUCUAAAAAUGCGCAAAUUUAUGCAGACGAUAAAUGGAAGAAGAAGAAGAAAACAGAAAACGCAGCCAGCAACACCGUCAUUGACAGUAGCUGAUUGUGGUGAACACUUUUUCGCGCAGUGAACGCGAGAGAAGAGGAGUUGAAGGGGACUCUUUGGCGAUAGUGACGGUGAUGCUGUAAAGCUGCAAAGCUGUAAAGCUGUUGGUCAUUGCGGCGGUGAAUGUGUUGACGAGUAUGUUGGCUGCUUUCUGGCUUGAUGGAGGCCACGACGUUGUAGUUGGCGGAGUUGUUGGACAUAAAGCAAUUAAACUUAAAUGAAAUAAUGAAACAUUUCUGCCUGCUAUGCUGCCUCGCUACAUAUCUUACAUACCACACAAUGCGAACUCGAUUGUUCAAACCAUUAAUAUGUGAAUUGAAGAAAUAUUAAUCCGCAGAUAAGAGAAUUCUUACGGAAGCAGUGAGAAAGUCUCCUUAUAUAUUAGUAUACCAAACUAGCAGCUCGACUCUUGAAGAAUGCUGCCUGACCCGAGUCUGCCCAUUCGACUCCGAAUAAGUGCAUAUUAGAAGCGAAAGAUGAGCGGUUUGAGUGGAGAAAAGGGUAUGUAGCCAAACUGAGGAUCACUCUUUGUAUGAGUAACAUAAUCAUAGUGAGUAAUAUCUUUUUCCAAAAAUUUCCGAGAAAAUAUAGAGAGCACCAUUAUGCCUGGAUAACCUGCAAAGCUCUACAUUAAUUCGAUAGCCGCAAGAACUUGCUGAUGCCAAGUUUGUUUGUGUGGAUUCCACUGGCGACCGUGGGGGGGUCCAGCCUGCAUCUGUGGAGCAAUCCUGUCCCAUUGGUGCCUAUUUGGGAUAAAUACUUUAUAGCCAUUCCUGAAGUCGAUGAGGGUUAUACCCUAGCGCAUACUUACCGGUAGACGGAAUCUGGUUGACCACUUUCCAUUCUGAAGCCUUAUCAGCGCAGCACAUGCUCUACAAUGAUUAAUGAAUUCCACUCAUUGGAAUACGCGGCUAAUAAAUAUUACAUAAGCACGAGCUGGAACAUUCAUCAUACAAUGACGUCAGCAAUGCUCAACACUGUCACUUAGCACCAGCCAAUAUGCCGAAGACACAGCCACAUACGAGUAUUCUUCAGUACGCGCAACCAUAAAUAAAAUGCCAAAUGAAUUAUUGGCGGAAACGCUCAUUAAAAGUCGUGCUCGAUUCCCAUUAUGUCCAAAGCUAAAAGCAGCAGUUUUAUUACUCAACUCACCACCUUACCCACCACCCACCGUAUCCCCGCGUCCCAUAUAUUUAUGUAUACAAAUUAAUGGAUUCGCGGCGGCGUAUUAAUUACUUUUGCACAACCACUCGGAACCAGCAGCUACCUAUACAUAUAUGGGGCUAUGUGCUUUAGUGUGUAUGGAAAGGAAAGGGCGAUUCAAACUCAGUGUUUGUUCGGCGACGCAGCUUACUACCGCGCAAAGCGGCUUUCUCCAACGGAGACUGAACAGCAUUGUUGCUGUCUCUGCUGUAUCAAGCACCUACGGCACAGCAUACAAACAUCUACUACAUUGGUAUGUGCGCUUCGAGUGCAUCCAAGUUAUACGCUGAAAUUCAAAACGCUCACCUCCUUUGUACGCUGAUUUAGCCAAGCGAAUUGAAGAAUGGAUCGGAUUGCAGGCGCUCCCGACCAGCGUAGGCCCUCCGCACGUAACUAGUUUACAAACACGCGCGCAGCUCCGCAGUUGUUUGGCGUAGCACUUGUUGGCAAUUGAAAUUUCCCUGAAACACUUGACGUUGUUGUUGACGCUCGUAGCGAUUCGAAUUACAUGGUGCAACAGCACCGCAUUGCUGCACUACUGUGGAAUAGGCAAUUGUGAUCGUCGCCGGCAGUCCGUUUGUCCGUCCGUUCGUCGCAAGGGGUAUUGCUUACGGUUUGGGUUGGUCAGUGUAGCGAGAUGUGGGUACGGUAACGCUGGACGUCAAUUUCAAAUAACGUCCAACACCUUUCACUAUUUCAAACAAUUUUUUACACAACAAGAACAACAACAACAUCAAAGAUAAACGACACCAACGUGAAUGAAUGUCGCCAAUACCCAAUACGAGUAAGAUCGGACAGUGAGCUAUGUUACAUAUUAAGGUAAACCAACGCAGGGAUCACAAAAAAUGGGUAAGAAUGAGCUAAGAGUGCACUGAGCCGGGUAUUAGAUACCUGUUUGUUUCACUUGAAUGGAAUCUAGCCGAGCCUUCCUAUAAAUGAUCAUUCUUCGCUUUCCAUUUCUGUUCGGUUUUUUCUAUCUUUUUUUUACCGUUGUGGGAAGAACUACGCCAGAGCUGGAUGAGCUUAGAUGAGCCCAUUGCGGUCUAAACGCUUUAUAACAUAAACAUGACUAAGACGCUCAUAUAACAAUUUUAAUACAAGCAGCUGGGCAGGAUUUAUACAAAUGCUUUCACAUAUGUACAUGCACAUGUUUGUGGUAGUCGAAAUUCCGCCAAAAACAAUCUAUUUAAUCUUCACUAUCGGCACCUUCAGCACCAGCGCUUUCAACACCAGCAACCUCAGCUUCAGCAAUCAACGUCUUGAGUAUCAAACAAAUUGCUUGUCGACCAAUCACUAUAACACACACACACAUUCGCAGACCUGCCACUAUUCAUUUAACGAACUGUUCGUUUGACUGCCCAUUCCGAGAGGAUUUCUUGCCGCCCCAAUUCCCUUCCUUUACGACUUCAACGUGAACAAGUAAUUUUUCCGCUAUCGGGCAAUCCAAUCAUUGUAUGGUAACAACGACAACAACAACAAUAACAACAACAAUAGAAAAAACAUUGGAUUCGUGCCAUUACUGGAUUUGUUGCUCUAAUGACGUUUUCGGUUGCCAACCUGUGACAUUUCGUUGUUGUGAAAAAUAUUCACCGACGAAAAGCUGACGUGGAUAGCCGGCGAGGUUAAGUCGGCUGCGGUGGCUGCGGUGGCUUAGGUAACGGCGACUGGAAUGCGUGGGCGCAGAUUGUCGCAGAGGCGUGAGAACGAUCACAGCAGCUGUCGCAAGCCAAAACAACAACUACAACAACCACAACGACAACGAUGUUUGGCAGUGUGGUAGACAGUGCAGCUCGAUUUUAUGAUCAACACGAUCACCAAAUAAUUUGUAAUUGUAUCUAGCGUAACCGUAUCGGCAACAACAACAACAACAACAGAGAAAACAGCACAAAACCAAGCAAAGUAAAGCAGAAAAUCUCUUGAAAAUGCACUUUGCAUGUAAAAUAAAUUUGUCUUGGCCUGCAGCAAACCGACAUUUACCGGCCGUUGGAUGCGGUCAUUUAACCGUCGCUCCGUUUUGACAUUUACACCGAUCACCAAUGAAAUUUGGAUUUUCGCAUAAACAACGCCAUGUUAUUCCACAUUUAAUACACACAAAUAUAUGCACAUAUUUACAGAAAUAAAUAAUUUUUGAAAAAUUGU